rnacentral:lncRNA from 1 species
GAAGAUAGAUGUAAGAGAUGGUGCAGAAAUGGCAACUCCACCCUUCAAGGCGUGACUUCUUAAUCCUGUAUUGACAUGGAAUGAUACUCUAGUCAUCUUGGCUUGAUCUAGUGUGCCUCAUUGUCCUGAUCAGAAAAAUCAGAAACUUUGGGGGACCUGAAACAUCAUCUCUCUGGACUUGUUGCAAAGGUGCCUGUCCCAGCUGAACAGCUGAAUAAAC